UACGUAGGGGGCAAGUGUUGUCCGGAUUUAUUGGGCGUAAAGAGCGUGUAGGCGGCCAAGCAGGUCCGCUGUGAAAACUCGAGGCUCAACCUCGAGAGGUCGGUGGAAACCGUUUGGCUAGAGUCCGGAAGAGGAGAGUGGAAUUCCCGGUGUAGCGGUGAAAUGCGCAGAUAUCGGGAAGAACACCCGUGGCGAAGGCGGCUCUCUGGGACGGUACUGACGCUGAGACGCGAAAGCGUGGGGAGCGAACAGG
rnacentral:rRNA from 1 species